GAGAAUAUGCUGAUGGGACUUUGACCGAAAUUUUCAUUGAAAGAGUAUUUGAUGAGCAUGUUCGACGAAGCAAAGGUGGAGGAAACACAAGGGAGAUGGACUUCGAUAGUUUUCUGGACUUUGUCCUUGCCCUUGAAAACAAAGACACUCCGGAAGGGUUGACAUAUUUAUUUCGGUGUCUUGAUCUUCAUGGGAGGGGUUACCUUACAACCGUGGAUAUUCAUACUCUUUUCAGAGAUGUGCAUCAGAAAUGGAUAGAGGGUGGAAACUAUGAGUUGUGCAUUGAAGAUGUUAGAGAUGAGAUAUGGGACAUGGUUAAGCCAGUUGACCCUCUAAAAAUUACUUCGACUGAUCUACUGAACUGCAAGCAAGGUGGCACGGUUGCGAGCAUGCUAAUUGACGUUCGUGGUUUCUG
rnacentral:misc_RNA from 1 species